rnacentral:rRNA from 1 species
AGAGUUUGAUCCUGGCUCAGAUUGAACGCUGGCGGCAUGCCUUACACAUGCAAGUCGAACGGUAACAGCACUUCGGUGGCUGACGAGUGGCGAACGGGUGAGUAAUACAUCGGAACGUGCCCGAGAGUGGGGGAUAACGCAGCGAAAGCUGUGCUAAUACCGCAUACGAUCUACGGAUGAAAGCAGGGGACCGCAAGGCCUUGCGCUCAUGGAGCGGCCGAUGGCAGAUUAGGUAGUUGGUGGGAUAAAAGCUUACCAAGCCGACGAUCUGUAGCUGGUCUGAGAGGACGACCAGCCACACUGGGACUGAGACACGGCCCAGACUCCUACGGGAGGCAGCAGUGGGGAAUUUUGGACAAUGGGCGAAAGCCUGAUCC